GAUGAACGCUGGCGGCGUGCCUAAUACAUGCAAGUCGAGCGAACAGAUGAGGAGCUUGCUCCUCUGACGUUAGCGGCGGACGGGUGAGUAACACGUGGAUAACCUACCUAUAAGACUGGGAUAACUUCGGGAAACCGGAGCUAAUACCGGAUAAUAUAUUGAACCGCAUGGUUCAAUAGUGAAAGACGGUUUUGCUGUCACUUAUAGAUGGAUCCGCGCCGCAUUAGCUAGUUGGUAAGGUAACGGCUUACCAAGGCAACGAUGCGUAGCCGACCUGAGAGGGUGAUCGGCCACACUGGAACUGGGACACGGUCCAGAGUCCUACGGGAGGCAGCAGUAGGGAAUCUUCCGCAAUGGGCGAAAGCCUGACGGAGCAACGCCGCGUGAGUGAUGAAGGUCUUCGGAUCGUAAAACUCUGUUAUUAGGGAAGAACAAAUGUGUAAGUAACUAUGCACGUCUUGACGGUACCUAGUCAGAAAGCCACGGCUAACUACGUG
rnacentral:rRNA from 1 species